GAGUAUAAAACAAUAAAACAAUAUGAGAGGGUCUCUCUCUUCCCUCACCAGAGGGGCCAAAGUUUUGUGAGACAUCUCCUCAUCUGUGCACAGAUGGGUGGCAGACUCUGGAGCCCAGGCUGUUGCUUUCCAUUCUGGUGGUGAAUCCUUCAUAGUCUGGUAUUGUUGUCUCUAACCCAGACCUGAUCACCUGUUGAGAGCAAGGAAAAGAAACUUUGACUAUGAAGAGACAGGAGAUGAUUGCCAAACACCCAGGUAUUGUUGUCUCUAAGCCUGACCUGAUCAUCUGUCUGGAGCAAGGAAAAAUCCUUUGAGUAUAAGGAGACAUGAGAUGAUUGCUAAGCACCCAGGUGGGUGCAAGUGAAAAUGAAUACAACAGACAUCACAG
rnacentral:lncRNA from 1 species